GCUAGCUUCGGCAGUACAUAUUAAAAUGAGAAUGGUACAGAGAAGACUAGCACAGCCCCUGUGUAAGAAUGUCACACCAAUUCGUGAAGCGUCCCAUGUUGUG
ensembl:snRNA U6 U6 spliceosomal RNA